CGGGGUAUGGUGUAACGGUAGCAUACUUGCUUUGGGAGCAAGCAGUCCCAGUUCAAAUCUGGGUACCCCGA
rnacentral:tRNA from 1 species